ACCAUUAAAGAGCUGCGGAAAAUAUACUUUGCUAUAAUUAAAAAUAUACAUUUUUUACAGAUCAUCGUAACAUAAUAUAUUGAAACACAAUAAUUUACCAACAAAAUAUUUGAAUAAUAUUUUUCUGUUUUGCUCACAAGGAUAGGUUAGUGGAUUGAAGUGGCGAAGGCUGUGCUCUGUAUAGCUACUUUUCGGCCAUUACCUGAGUAUACAAUACUGUUGCAGGAAUAAUGUCCCCUUCAGAAGCACGAGUGCCGUCGAUGGGAGACCGGCAGAGCACUUUUGCGCAGGACGUGUAAUAUAAUGCGUGUAUGUGGCACAUGUUGGAGAUGCACGUGGACGGCUAAGCGUGAUGACUCAUGACAGGUCCGCCAUAGCGGACGAGCACGUUAAUAAACAUUCCAUAAACGUUAACUCGCGCUGACGUGUCACCGGCAAAAGAUCCAUGACGAACAAGGAGUUAGGAGACGUAAUUUUACGGUGGAAAUGAAGAAACUAUUAUUAUUAUUAUUACUGCUACGGGCGGAAGAAGCUAUUUUAGAACGUUCGAAUAAACACGACGAACAAAUAAGAGUUAUUGUGAAACUGUUAUUUAAGCACUCGCGGAAGCCCCGUUGCUGCAGUUGUUGUUAUAUAGUCGUGUAUUUAUGGAAGUAGAAGAUGUUAAUCACAAAGGACGAAUUAAGUCUAACCGUCGGUUUUAAUCAUAUUGUUAAAAGCGAACAAGCUAUGCAAGAUAAACUUCUGAAAAAUACAAUAUCGUAAUAAUAUUUAUUUCUCGAGGUAGAUAUAAUUAUAAUAUGGUGGAUGUACAAUAAUAUCACAAUUAUUUCAAAUAAAAAAAGUAAUAAAAUAUCAUCAAGUCUGACGGUUUGUGGAAAACAAAUAAGGUCAAUUAGUUUUAAUUUUUUUGAGUGAAAUACAAUUUACCAAUUAAAAAGAGUAAAAAGAACUGUAACGAAAUAAUAAUACAACGUAAGGUAUAAAAUUACUCACAGAAUAUCUGCGGAAAUGUAAUGUGAUCGACUGCUAUGAAUUGAGCCAAUUUGACGAAACAAAUCCUAUUUGAUUGUCGUACUGGUGUGGUGGUGGGGAAAGAGAGAGGGUAUUUGGACGAGGCUGUCCUCCCUCCAAGAUUGUUUGAAGCAAAUUCAGGCUU